GACGAACGCUGGCGGCGUGCUUAACACAUGCAAGUCGAACGGAAAGGCCCUGCUUUUGUGGGGUGCUCGAGUGGCGAACGGGUGAGUAACACGUGAGUAACCUGCCCUUGACUUUGGGAUAACUUCAGGAAACUGGGGCUAAUACCGGAUAGGAGCUCCUGCUGCAUGGUGGGGGUUGGAAAGUUUCGGCGGUUGGGGAUGGACUCGCGGCUUAUCAGCUUGUUGGUGGGGUAGUGGCUUACCAAGGCUUUGACGGGUAGCCGGCCUGAGAGGGUGACCGGCCAAAUUGGGACUGAAAUACGGCCCAGACUCGUACGGGAGGCAGCAGUGGGGAAUAUUGCACAAUGGGCGGAAGCCUGAUGCAGCAACGCCGCGUGCGGGAUGACGGCCUUCGGGUUGUAAACCGCUUUCGCCUGUGACGAAGCGUGAGUGACGGUAAUGGGUAAAGAAGCACCGGCUAACUACGUG
rnacentral:rRNA from 1 species